rnacentral:rRNA from 1 species
GACGAACGCUGGCGGCGUGCUUAACACAUGCAAGUCGAACGAAGUGGCGAACGGGUGAGUAACGCGUAAUCAACCUGCCCUUCAGAGGGGGACAACAGUUGGAAACGACUGCUAAUCCCGCAUACUGAAGGAGGGGAUUGCGUCUGAUUAGCUAGUUGGGGGGGUAACGGCCCACCAAGGCGAUGAUCAGUAACCGGGCUGAGAGGAUGAACGGCCACAUUGGGACUGAGACACGGCCCAGACUCCUACGGGAGGCAGCAAGUGGGAAUCUUCCGAAAUGGACGAAAGUCUGACGGAGCAACUCCGCGUGGGUUAUGACGGCCUUCGGGUUGUAAAGCUCUGUUAAUCGGGACGCGGUACCGGAAUAGAAAGCCACGGCUAACUACGUGCCAGCAGCCGCGGUAAUUC